GCGUGGCUCAGAACCAGAAGUCUAGAGUCAUGACAGUGUUGUCUUCAUAUUUUAACUGCUUUACACGCCAUUAGAAAUAAUUACCAGUUCUUUUGCAUAAUCUGCUGUAAAUUGCUCUUUCAUAGACAGUGUCGAUCAUUUUAAGUUGAGAUUGCCCAGCUGCACCAUUUUCAGGAUCUGUGUUAAAAAUAAGAUUUUAAAAUAUUUUUUUCUAUGUUUUGGGCGAUUAGUUUGUAUUCGGAUUCAUCAGAUUCCAAUAUAUUAUUCUUGCGGAGA
rnacentral:misc_RNA from 1 species